AACGAACGCUGGCGGCGUGCUUAACACAUGCAAGUCGAACGGAAAGGCCCUGUCUUUCUGCGGUGCUCGAAUUGCGACCGGGUAAGUUACCCUUGAGUACCCUGCCCUCGCCUUUGAGAGAACUUAAUGCAACAGGGGCUCAUACCGGGUAGGAUCUCCUGCUGCAUGGUUAGGGUUCGAAAGUUUCGGCGGUUGGGGAGGUAAUCGCCUCUUAUCCGCUCGUUGGUGGGGUGGUGUCUUACCAAGGCUUUGACGGGUAGCCGGCCUGAGAGGGUGACCGGCCACAUUGGGACUGAGAUACGGCCCAGGCUCCUACGGGAGGGAGCGGUGGGGAGGGGUGAACAAUGGGCGGAAGCCAGAUGCAGCAACGCCGCGUGCGGGAAGACGGCCUGCGGGUUGUAAACCGCUUUCGCCUGUGACGGAGCGGGAGUGACGGUAAUGGGUAAAGAAGCCCCGGCUAACUACGUG
rnacentral:rRNA from 1 species